CAGGGAGGUGGUGGGGUCACCGUCCCUGGAGGUGUUCCAGAGCCGUGUGGAUGUGGCACUGAGGACGUGCCUUGGCAUGAGCGCUGGAGCAGCUCUCUUCAAGGGGAAAGUCUGGGGCCAAGGACGGCUGCAGGUGGAGACACCGGGAUGAAGCAUAGGGACACCACGAUACAUCCUGCAGGCUGAGGUGGGAACGUUCCUUUUCUCCUGGCCUUAAGUUUCCCUCCCCUCCAUGCAUAUCUAAGCUGGUGAGGCAAAAAAAUGCCCUGCUCCCCCCUCUCUCCUUGCAGAAAUAGAGUCGGACUUGGAAUUCCCCUCUGUCUCAUGGCUGGGGACACAGGGUCUCGCUGGUGAUCUCAGCCCAGCAGAAACCUUUCUGUGCUGAGAGCAGGCAGCAGCGGAGCAGGAGGCUGGGAAGGAGGAGGGGAGCCAUGGCAGGAAACCAAGAACACAUCAGACACUCUAAAUUUAGAUCUUUUUAUUCAGCUCGGACAAUAUUCCUUGAUUUCUCAUUGUUCGGCGGAGGGCAGAGGGCAGGGGAUCUAUUGAAAGGCUUUGUCCUGAGAGAUGCCACUUUGUCUGGGCACAGGGGGGUGGAGGAGCCGCAGAUUGGGGCGGAUGGGGGCUCCCAUCCCACCGCUCCAGCGAUGCUCGGGCACCUGUGCAGUCCCACUACCCUCAGGGUACCCCCCGUGCC
ensembl:lncRNA